rnacentral:rRNA from 1 species
UACGGGGGGGGCAAGCGUUGUUCGGAAUUACUGGGCGUAAAGGGCGCGUAGGUGGCCAACUAAGUCAGACGUGAAAUCCCUCGGCUUAACCGGGGAACUGCGUCUGAUACUGGAUGGCUUGAGUUUGGGAGAGGGACGCGGAAUUCCAGGUGUAGCGGUGAAAUGCGUAGAUAUCUGGAGGAACACCGGUGGCGAAAGCGGCGCCCUGGACCAAUACUGACACUGAAACGCGAAAGCCAGGGGAGCAAACGGG